ACAAAAUUUUGGCCAAUCGGCCUGGCAUCUGAGACGAAGGCAUCUUUUUCAACUAAAAUUAGUUUCCAUUACGAUUAGCUCCAGGCAUCGGGUCUGCAAGAGAUGAUGGAGUUUAGUCUGCAAGAAACGAGAAGAGGAGAGAGACCGUUCGGCAAAGAACUGCCGGUUUUCGGUUGUUUCGCCUUCCUUCUUCUUUGCCAAUACAUAAAGGGGGUUCAUCAAGCCGGCGAGACUAUUGUGAAAAAUAGCUGAAUUUUAAAGCGGAGAGAGAGAAACAUAAGUGAUAGAGGGGAGAGUUUGGUCUGCAAUUAAAGAUUCUGGGGAGCAAUUCUAAUGAUUUCGUUAGUGAUCUCAUAGGGCAAGAGAACAUGAUGUUAGUCUGCCUCAAGGUCGAACCUUAUUAAUUCCACUUCACUUUCUUCUUCCUCUGCUUUUGAUCAAGGUUGCAGAAGGAUUUCUCCUGCAAAUUGAUCACCUAUGACAGUGCCUGAUCUUCCUUUUUCUAUGUUCUAUUAAUAAUGCCUCUUUUCCUAAGCCAGCAAGUUGAAAAUAGAAGUGGGACUUUUCGUUUGGGAAAUUAAAGUGGAACCAACCUCAUUGUAUUUUUUGGACUUGGGCAUUUCAUUCACUCAUUUGCAAAUUCCCUACAAGCACAAGAAUUAUGUUUCAUUCAGGCACACAACAAAGAAGUCGAAUGGACAGUUCUGUUAUAUUACGAUUGAAUUAAAUUGAAAAUGUAAAUGUUUUUGUUAACCUGGAAUGAAUCAAAUAAUCAGUGUCGGUUGGGCAACAAUCUCUCGGAUAGUGUAAAU